rnacentral:rRNA from 1 species
GGCUAAUACGUGCGAAGCGCCCGAAGCCGCGAGGCGACGGGCGUUCUCGCCGGAUGUAGGAACCGACCCGGGGACCGCCGGGGCAACCCGGCGCCCCCGAGACGGGGCGAACCACGGUGAAAUGACGGAUCGUCGGCCCCGCGCCGGCGACUCGCCGAAUGAGUUUCUGACCUAUCAACUCGAGACGGCGGGGUAGAGGCCCGCCGCGGUAACGACGGGUAACGGGGAAUCAGGGUUCGAUUCCGGAGAGGGGAGCCCGAGAAACGGCUACCACUUCCAAGGAAGGCAGCAGGCGCGCAACUUACCCUAAUCUCGAUUCGAGGAGGUAGUGACAAGAAAUACCGAUGCGGGACCCUACGGGUGCCGCGUUCGGAAUGAGUACGAUUCGAACACCUAACGAGGAACGAUCGGAGGCAAGUCUGGUGCCAGCAGCCGCGGUAAUUCCAGCUCCAAUAGCGUACGUUAAAGUUGCUGCAGUUAAAAAGCUCGUAGUUGAACGUUC